rnacentral:sRNA from 1 species
ACCGGGCGCCCGUCGCCCAGUUCCGUCACCCUCCUAAGACUCGGCAGUUUGGGCCCGGAGUCCCGCCUCCCUCCGGGGGUCGCACGCCUCCUCUGCUAGGAUUCCCAGUCCCCACCUCCUGGGAUUCCCAGACCAGGCCCCGUCCUAGCGGUGCGGUGGCCUCUCUCUGGCAGACGAGGUGGCGUGCGUGGUGCCUGAGGUGUGCAGGCGCGUGUGCGGCACGGAGGUGGGCUGCUCCAACAUCGCCUACCCGCGGCUCGUCGUGAAGCUCAUGCCCAACGGGCGCCUUCUGGGGACUCAUCGGGGGCCUGCUGAUGGGCCUGGCACGCCUGAUUCCCGAGUUCUCCUUCGGCUCGGGCAGCUGUGUGCAGCCCUCGGCGUGCCCAGCUUUCCUCUGCGGCGUGCACUACCUCUACUUCGCCAUUGUGCUGUUCUUCUGCUCUGGCCUCCUCACCCUCACGGUCUCCCUGUGCACCGCGCCCAUCCCCCGAAAGCACCUCCACCGCCUGGUCUUCAGUCUCCGGCACAGCAAGGAGGAACGGGAGGACCUGGAUGCUGAUGAGCAGCAAGGCUCCUCAUUCCCUGUACAGAAUGGGUGCCCAGAGAGUGCCAUGGAGACGAAUGGUAGGGCACCAUGCUGGGAGGUGGGGCUGGAGAAGCUGAGUUCCCGCAAACUAACUGCAGGGCCUCAAUUUCCCUCAGAGCCCCAGGCCCUGGCACCAAGCCUCUUCCGCCAGU